AGGUAUAUACAGUCAGCCAAGACUCUCCUUCAGCGCAGUCUUUGAGCGGAAAUUAUGGCGUUUUGCAGAACUAUUGCUCUAGUGAGCGUCAUGGUGAUGCUGGUUUUUAUGACUGAGAGAUCUAACACUUAUUUAUUGAGCGGUAUUGAGCACAAAUGGCAUUUGUGUAACCAAACGUGCCGGGUGAAUGAUGAUGACUCUAAAACGUCUUGCAAACCACCUUGUACUUGCCAAGCCAAAAUGGGUCAGGAUGGUUUUCCGCUAUACGGAGAAGGGCAGUGUGUAAAUUAUUACUAUAGGCUCACUACAUAAUUGUCAAUCACAAAAAAUCAAUUUACAUUUGUGAACGAAAUAAACAUUCUUUAUUAGCA